GUGAGAUUUCACCUAAUCCCAGUUGUAAGUGAAAUGAAUGUUGUGCAUUUUAUGUUAAAGGACGGUCUACAAUAAUAAGGUGUGGGGCAAUAGGAGACACUGUGAUUCACAUAUCAUUGAAAACCAAAAUACUAGAAGACCUUAAAUUUUAAAGAAUGCUGGCAAACGUUUAAGUGAUCAGCACAAGUGGUUUACAACAAACCUAAUGGACCACAUGUUGAGUAUCUUGACAUAAGAGCAAAUUCAUAUCGUACAAGUCAUUCAACACACGUUUCUUGAGAACAAGGCAAGUCUCA
rnacentral:lncRNA from 13 species